UACGUAGGGGGCUAGCGUUGUCCGGAAUCAUUGGGCGUAAAGCGCGUGUAGGCGGUCCGGUAAGUCCGCUGUGAAAGUCGGGGGCUCAACCCUCGAAUGCCGGUGGAUACUGUCGGGCUAGAGUACGGAAGAGGCGAGUGGAAUUCCUGGUGUAGCGGUGAAAUGCGCAGAUAUCAGGAGGAACACCAAUUGCGAAGGCAGAUCGCUGGGACGUUACUGACGCUGAGACGCGAAAGCGUGGGGAGCAAACAGG
rnacentral:rRNA from 1 species